rnacentral:rRNA from 1 species
AGGUUAAGCUGAAGAGGCGGAGCCGCAGCGAAAGCGAGUCUGAAUAGGGCGUUUAGUACGUGGUCGUAGACCCGAAACCAGGUGAUCUACCCAUGUCCAGGGUGAAGUUCAGGUAACACUGAAUGGAGGCCCGAACCCACGCACGUUGAAAAGUGCGGGGAUGAGGUGUGGGUAGCGGAGAAAUUCCAAUCGAACCUGGAGAUAGCUGGUUCUCCCCGAAAUAGCUUUAGGGCUAGCCUUAAGUGUAAGAGUCUUGGAGGUAGAGCACUGAUUGGACUAGGGGUCCUCAUCGGAUUACCGAAUUCAGUCAAACUCCGAAUGCCAAUGACUUAUCCUUAGGAGUCAGACUGCGAGUGAUAAGAUCCGUAGUCAAAAGGGAAACAGCCCAGACCGCCAGCUAAGGUCCCAAAGUGUGUAUUAAGUGGAAAAGGAUGUGGAGUUGCUUAGACAACUAGGAUGUUGGCUUAGAAGCAGCCACCAUUUAAAGAGUGCGUAAUAGCUCACUAGUCGAGUGACUCUGCGCCGAAAAUGUACCGGGGCUAAAUACACCACCGAAGCUGCGGAUUGAUACCAAUGGUAUCAGUGGUAGGGGAGCGUUCUAAGGACAGUGAAGUCAGACCGGAAGGACUGGUGGAGUGCUUAGAAGUGAGAAUGCCGGUAUGAGUAGCGAAAGACGGGUGAGAAUCCCGUCCACCGAAUGCCUAAGGUUUCCUGAGGAAGGCUCGUCCGCUCAGGGUUAGUCAGGACCUAAGCCGAGGCCGACAGGCGUAGGCGAUGGACAACAGGUUGAUAUUCCUGUACCACCUCUUUAUCGUUUGAGCAAUGGAGGGACGCAGAAGGAUAGAAGAAGCGUGCGAUUGGUUGUGCACGUCCAAGCAGUUAGGCUGAUAAGUAGGCAAAUCCGCUUAUCGUGAAGGCUGAGCUGUGAUGGGGAAGCUCCUUAUGGAGCGAAGUCUUUGAUUCCCCGCUGCCAAGAAAAGCUUCUAGCGAGAUAAAAGGUGCCUGUACCGCAAACCGACACAGGUAGGCGAGGAGAGAAUCCUAAGGUGUGCGAGAGAACUCUGGUUAAGGAACUCGGCAAAAUGACCCCGUAACUUCGGGAGAAGGGGUGCUUUCUUAACGGAAAGCCGCAGUGAAUAGGCCCAAGCGACUGUUUAGCAAAAACACAGCUCUCUGCGAAGCCGUAAGGCGAAGUAUAGGGGGUGACACCUGCCCGGUGCUGGAAGGUUAAGGAGAGGGGUUAGCGUAAGCGAAGCUCUGAACUGAAGCCCCAGUAAACGGCGGCCGUAACUAUAACGGUCCUAAGGUAGCGAAAUUCCUUGUCGGGUAAGUUCCGACCCGCACGAAAGGUGUAACGAUUUGGGCACUGUCUCAACCAGAGACUCGGUGAAAUUAUAGUACCUGUGAAGAUGCAGGUUACCCGCGACAGGACGGAAAGACCCCGUGGAGCUUUACUGUAGCCUGAUAUUGAAUUUUGGUACAGUUUGUACAGGAUAGGCGGGAGCCUUUGAAACCGGAGCGCUAGCUUCGGUGGAGGCGCUGGUGGGAUACCGCCCUGACUGUAUUGAAAUUCUAACCUACGGGUCUUAUCGACCCGGGAGACAGUGUCAGGUGGGCAGUUUGACUGGGGCGGUCGCCUCCUAAAGUGUAACGGAGGCGCCCAAAGGUUCCCUCAGAAUGGUUGGAAAUCAUUCGUAGAGUGCAAAGGCAUAAGGGAGCUUGACUGCGAGACCUACAAGUCGAGCAGGGACGAAAGUCGGGCUUAGUGAUCCGGUGGUUCCGCAUGGAAGGGCCAUCGCUCAACGGAUAAAAGCUACCCCGGGGAUAACAGGCUUAUCUCCCCCAAGAGUCCACAUCGACGGGGAGGUUUGGCACCUCGAUGUCGGCUCAUCGCAUCCUGGGGCUGUAGUCGGUCCCAAGGGUUGGGCUGUUCGCCCAUUAAAGCGGUACGCGAGCUGGGUUCAGAACGUCGUGAGACAGUUCGGUCCCUAUCCGUCGUGGGCGUAGGAAAUUUGAGAGGAGCUGUCCUUAGUACGAGAGGACCGGGAUGGACGCACCGCUGGUGUACCAGUUGUUCUGCCAAGGGCAUAGCUGGGUAGCUAUGUGCGGAAGGGAUAAGUGCUGAAAGCAUCUAAGCAUGAAGCCCCCCUCAAGAUGAGAUUUCCCAUAGCGUAAGCUAGUAAGAUCCCUGAAAGAUGAUCAGGUUGAUAGGUUCGAGGUGGAAGCAUGGUGACAUGUGGAGCUGACGAAUACUAAUAGAUCG